AGGACGACGCUGGCGGCGUGCCUAACACAUGCAAGUCGAGCGGGGUUGAAGCGAGGGGUAACUCGAACUUCUACCUAGCGGCGGACGGGUGAGUAACGCGUGGGCAACCUGCCUCAAGGAUCGGGAUAACAGCUCGAAAGGGCUGCUAAUACCGGAUAUGCCUAUGGCCUCGCAUGGGGCUGUGGGCAAAGGGGAAACCCGCCUUGAGAUGGGCCCGCGUCCCAUCAGCUAGUUGGUGAGGUGAAGGCUCACCAAGGCGACGACGGGUAGCCGGCCUGAGAGGGUGACCGGCCACACUGGGACUGAGACACGGCCCAGACUCCUACGGGGGGCAGCAGUGGGGGAUCUUGCACAAUGGGCGAAAGCCUGAUGCAGCGACGCCGCGUGAGCGAAGAAGGCCUUCGGGUUGUAAAGCUCUGUCUGGAGGGACGAAGAAAGUGACGGUACCUCCGGAGGAAGCCACGGCUAACUACGUG
rnacentral:rRNA from 1 species